rnacentral:tRNA from 1 species
GCCCCCUUAGCUUAAAUGGAUAAAGCGCGGGCCUCCGGAGCCCGAGUUGGAAGUUCAAUUCUUCCAGGGGGCA